rnacentral:lncRNA from 1 species
CCACAAGGCAGCUUACAACAUGGCAGCUGGCUUCUCUCAGAGCAAGUCAGCGAAAGAGUGAAAUAGAGCAAGCAAGGUGGAAGCCAAACUGUUCAAAAUCUAAUUUCAGAAGUACCAUCCUGUCACUUUUGCUGUAUUCUAUCCACUAAAAGGAAGUCACUAGAUCCAGUCUACAAUCAGAAGAAAAAAUUACACACAGACAAAAAUUGACAAAUGAAAGCCAUCUUAGAAGUUGUCUACCACAGAAGAAGAAUGGACAGAGGAAGGAGAG